GUAACUGAAUGAUGAUAUAAUUUGCGAUCUAGGGCUAAUCACUUGGAACACCGCCAUGUUCUAUAUGGGUGAUUAGCGAAGUGCGAAAAAUUUUUUUAUCUGAUAUUUUC
rnacentral:snoRNA from 2 species